CUUAAAUGUAUUUUCGGAAUUUUUAAGGAUUUUCGAAGAUAAACUGAAAGCAAUCACGUAUCUUCUUGCAACAGCAAUUGCAACAGUUUCGUUUACAUCAUACAUCUACAUCAAAGAACGGGUGAAAAUCUUAAAUUUUGUAACUACGUAUAAAAGACUCAUCAAGCGGAUAAUAGAAAAACAUAUACAGUAGCUAUAAAUUGCA
rnacentral:misc_RNA from 1 species